AUCUCAUUACGCUCUAUAACCCUUUGUGACAUACCUAUAACUGUUGCUUCGGCGGGUAGGGUCUCCGCGACCCUCCCGGCCUCCCGCCUCCGGGCGGGUCGGCGCCCGCCGGAGGAUAACCAAACUCUGAUUUAACGACGUUUCUUCUGAGUGGUACAAGCAAAUAAUCAAAACUUUUAACAACGGAUCUCUUGGUUCUGGCAUCGAUGAAGAACGCAGCGAAAUGCGAUAAGUAAUGUGAAUUGCAGAAUUCAGUGAAUCAUCGAAUCUUUGAACGCACAUUGCGCCCGCCAGCAUUCUGGCGGGCAUGCCUGUUCGAGCGUCAUUUCAACCCUCAAGCUCUGCUUGGUGUUGGGGCCCUACAGCUGAUGUAGGCCCUCAAAGGUAGUGGCGGACCCUCCCGGAGCCUCCUUUGCGUAGUAACUUUACGUCUCGCACUGGGAUCCGGAGGGACUCUUGCCGUAAAACCCCCCAAUUUUCCAAAGGUUGACCUCGGAUCAGGUAGGAAUACCCGCUGAACUUAAGCAUAUCAAAG
rnacentral:rRNA from 1 species